rfam:Schistosoma margrebowiei strain Zambia genome assembly, scaffold: SMRZ_scaffold0000681
CAUCUGUUGAGGAGUCCCAAAACAGGACGAAACGGCCGUUCAGUGC